rnacentral:lncRNA from 1 species
AGAUACCCCAGCCAAAAAUGCACAGAAAUCAAACCAAAAUGGAAAAGACUUAAAACAAUCAAUACCAAGAUCAAGGGUCAAGAGUCCUUUGAAAAACAGGAAAAAACUCCCAAAACACCAAAAGGACCUAGUUCUGUAGAAGACAUUAAGGCAAAAAUGCAAGCAAGUAUAGAAAAAGGUGGUUCUCUUCCCAAAGUGGAAUCCAAGUUCAUCAAUUAUGUGAAGAAUUGUUCCCGGAUGACUGACCAGGAAGAAGAUCUCUGGCAGUGGAGGGAGUCUCUUUAAGAAAAUGGUUUAAACACUUUGAAACAUUCUGUCUUCAUUUCUUUAAUAGUUGAUAUCUGGCUGUCCUUUUUAUAAUGCAAAGUGAGAACUUGUUCUACCGUGUUUGAUAAAUAUUGUCCAGGUUCAGCUGCCAAGAAUGUGUUGUCUAAAAUGCCUGUUUAGUUUUCAAGGAUGGACCUCUACCUUUUACUUGGUUUUAAGUAUGUAUGGACUGUUAUGAUAGGACAUAGUCAUUGUGGUGGUCAGAUGUGGAAAUGGUAAGGAGACAAAAAUAUCCAUGUGAAAUAAACUAAGUAUUUUAAUAAAGUGAAAAAA